UGCGUAGGCGGACUAAUAAGUCAGUGGUGAAAUCUCUCGGCUCAACCGGGAAACUGCCAUUGAUACUGUUAGUCUUGAGUUCGGUUGAGGUAGGCGGAAUGAGUAAUGUAGCGGUGAAAUGCUUAGAUAUUACACAGAACACCAAUUGCGUAGGCAGCUUACUAGACCGACACUGACGCUGAGGCACGAAAGCGUGGGUAGCGAACAGGAUUAGAUACCCUGGUAGUC
rnacentral:rRNA from 1 species